AUCUGUCUCACCCACUGAACUAACAGUUUCAAGAACACCAUCGUACCUCUCUCUAGCGGAUCUCACUCCGGUGGAUCUGUCGCUUAGAGACCACAUAGCUGACUGUCUUGCUCACCGAUCGUCGAAGACCUGCGAUAGCGGAUGGCUUUCUCUUUCUCUACUGCCAUGUCAACAUGGCCAUGGCGCAUGUGUGCUUAUGGCAAUGGCCAUUGUUUUGUGAAGGUAUCAAGAUCUCACAAAAAUCCUGGUCGUGUAUAUUAUGUUUGCCCUCGGCCAGUGGAUAUCCAAACAAGAAGGGGUAUUUGGCACUAUUCAAAGGGUCUCGGUAUCACCAAAAACAAUUCCGGGAUCAUGGACGACGCGACAACCCAAAAGAAUUGUUUAACGAGGCGCACGCAUCAAUGAGAAGCGUGGUGGAAAGGACUUUAGGAGUGUGAAAAUUGCGCUGGAAUUUUCUUAAAGACAUGUUCGACUAUGAUUUUGCGUCGAUGCUGGUGCCAUUAGUUGGUGCGUCAAUGACCAUUGGUUGGUGCGUCAAUGACGUUACACAAUUUCAUUUGUAGACACGAGACAGCCGGUGAUGCCCGCAACAAACAUGUCAGAUGUUCGUCAGUUCCAGAUGACAUGCUCGCUGUGGAAGACGGAGGAGAAAAUAUGGAUGACAGCCGCAUGGUUGGGGAUACGGAUGUGGAUAUGGCAAGAGUUCGCGUUCGUAUCCGCGACCAUUUGUUUCACAUACAGAAUCAAGGACUAUUGUGAAAUGAUUGUUUUGUAUACGAAAUUUGUUGUAUGGUGUCAUAAUUUGACACACGUAGCAUGACUUUUAAUUAUGGACGCACGUUCGUUGGAAAAACUAGAACAAAUCAUAAUGGACUUACAUUAUGGGAACCAAAAUUGAUCUAUUGUGUUAUGUUAUUGUAAUUUGUACAAGUAAAACGCAUAUGUGGUACGAAAUUAGGAUUUGCAUGUAAAUUCGUCAAAUUGGAAAGGAAAGUGAAGUGUCUAACAAACUUGGAAAUGUUUUUAUUUCGGACUGUAAACAU